rnacentral:rRNA from 1 species
CCUACGGGAGGCAGCAGUGAGGAAUAUUGGUCAAUGGACGAGAGUCUGAACCAGCCAAGUAGCGUGAAGGAUGACUGCCCUAUGGGUUGUAAACUUCUUUUAUAUGGGAAUAAAACGUUCCACGUGUGGGAUUUUGUAUGUACCAUAUGAAUAAGGAUCGGCUAACUCCGUGCCAGCAGCCGCGGUAAUACGGAGGAUCCGAGCGUUAUCCGGAUUUAUUGGGUUUAAAGGGAACGUAGGUGGAUUGUUAAGUCAGUUGUGAAAGUUUGCGGCUCAACCGUAAAAUUGCAGUUGAAACUGGCAGUCUUGAGUACAGUAGAGGUGGGCGGAAUUCGUGGUGUAGCGGUGAAAUGCUUAGAUAUCACGAAGAACUCCGAUUGCGAAGGCAGUUCACUGGACUGCAACUGACACUGAGGCUCGAAAGUGUGGGUAUCAAACAGGAUUAGAUACCCGAGUAGUC